rnacentral:rRNA from 1 species
AUUGAACGCUGGCGGCAGGCCUAACACAUGCAAGUCGAACGAGUGGCGGACGUUUGAGUAAUGCCUGGGAACCUGCCUGAUGGAGGGGGAUAACUACUGGAAACGGUAGCUAAUACCGCAUCCCAUCGGAUGUGCCCUGAUGGGCUUACCUAGUAGGUGGGGUAAAGGCGCACCUAGGCGACGAUCCCUAGCUGGUCUGAGAGGAUGACCAGCCACACUGGAACUGAGACACGGUCCAGACUCCUAAGGGAGGCAGCAGUGGGGAAUAUUGCACAAUGGGCGCAAGCCUGAUGCAGCCAGGCCGCGUGUAUGAAGAAGGCCUUCGGGUGGUAAAGUACUUGCAGCGGGGAGGCGGGAGCCGAAGAAGAAGCACCGGCUAACUCCGUGCCAGCAGCCGCGGUAAUUG